GGGGGGGGGGUGACAUAUACAUGCAGUCGAGCGAAUGGAUUAAGAGCUUGCUCUUAUGAAGUUAGCGGCGGACGGGUGAGUAACACGUGGGUAACCUGCCCAUAAGACUGGGAUAACUCCGGGAAACCGGGGCUAAUACCGGAUAACAUUUUGAACCGCAUGGUUCGAAAUUGAAAGGCGGCUUCGGCUGUCACUUAUGGAUGGACCCGCGUCGCAUUAGCUAGUUGGUGAGGUAACGGCUCACCAAGGCAACGAUGCGUAGCCGACCUGAGAGGGUGAUCGGCCACACUGGGACUGAGACACGGCCCAGACUCCUACGGGAGGCAGCAGUAGGGAAUCUUCCGCAAUGGACGAAAGUCUGACGGAGCAACGCCGCGUGAGUGAUGAAGGCUUUCGGGUCGUAAAACUCUGUUGUUAGGGAAGAACAAGUGCUAGUUGAAUAAGCUGGCACCUUGACGGUACCUAACCAGAAAGCCACGGCUAACUACGUGCCAGCAGCCGCGGUAAUACGUAGGUGGCAAGCGUUAUCCGGAAUUAUUGGGCGUAAAGCGCGCGCAGGUGGUUUCUUAAGUCUGAUGUGAAAGCCCACGGCUCAACCGUGGAGGGUCAUUGGAAACUGGGAGACUUGAGUGCAGAAGAGGAAAGUGGAAUUCCAUGUGUAGCGGUGAAAUGCGUAGAGAUAUGGAGGAACACCAGUGGCGAAGGCGACUUUCUGGUCUGUAACUGACACUGAGGCGCGAAAGCGUGGGGAGCAAACAGGUUA
rnacentral:rRNA from 1 species